rnacentral:rRNA from 1 species
AACGUAGGUGGCAAGCGUUAUCCGGAUUUACUGGGCGUAAAGCGUGUGCAGCCGGGGCUUCAAGUGGUGUAUGAAAUCGCUCAGCUCAACCGGGCGCGGGUAUGCCAGACUGGAGUGCUAGAGGGUGCGAGAGGGAAGUGGAAUUUCCGGUGUAGCGGUGAAAUGCGUAGAUAUCGGAAGGAACAUCAGUGGCGAAGGCGACUUCCUGGACCAAUACUGACGCUCAGGUGCGAAAGCGUGGGGAGCAAACAGG